AGUGUUUACUUCGCCUCCACUUCUGUUCCUCCCCGCCCUGGUGCUGCUCCAGGUCACAUACUCUUCCUGAGCCGGCUUCAGCCUCUCCGCGCAGAAGUCUCCCGGAGCCAUGGCCUAGUAUUCUUAUGUGAAGUCUACCAAGCUUGUGCUCAAGGGAACCGAGGUGAAGAGCUGGGUCCUGCAGCUCCGGCGGGAGCCUCCUCAGUUCUUUUCGGACGCACUCCACCCCCGCGAAUCCGGUGGAAGCCGUGAUGCGGAGAGCCGGCUUCGUGGCCUCCCAGGCUUCGCUCUGACCCUGUCUGGGCUGGAUGGAGGCCGGACCGCCCUUCCUGGCGCCUGUGCAGAGAGGGGCAGCCUCCUGCGCGGACGACCCUGGAAACAGGAUAGACGGGCGGGUGACCCGUGACCCCGUACCCACGAGUUUGGGUCCCUUGAGGCAUCUCUCCAGGCCUCUGCCUGAUUUGCCUGAGGUUGACUGUACAUGCAAAUAUUGAGCUUUCCUCCUGGCCUCCGUGAUAAACAGAAGUUUUGAUAUUGUUAGGCGAGAUGGAAAGAAAGUAUCAAGGAGUGAGCUGAAGCCACUGCCCUUGAGAACCCUCUCGAGGAGUCUGGCCUCAUGAAGAUGCCAGAAUAAAUGGCAGAGCUAAGAAGUGACAGAAUCGGGAUUUAAAAUCUGGCGGUGUGGCUCUACAAUCUGCUUUGAACUUUAACAUAAUAUGUACAAAGCCUGAAGCAAAUUCUCAGUACUGUAUUUAAGAGGGCAUAGCAAUUAAGAAGAAAAAGAGCAAAGAUAAGAAGAGAAAAAGAGAAGAUGAAGAAACCCAGCUUGAUAUGUUGAGGAACGCAGCUGCUCACCAGCAACGGAACAAAGCUGGACGGAGAAUGACUUUGAAGAGCUGAGAGAAGGCUUCAGACGAUCAAAUUACUCUGAGCUACGGGAGGACAUUCAAACCAAAGGCAAAGAAGUUGAAAACUUUGAAAAAAAUAAAUGUACAUUAAUUAACGUGGAAUCUGGUGAACAGUAACAAACUUUGGUGAAAUUUCAGGAACCAUAGCCAUUGAAGUGGAUGAGGGAACCUAUAUACAUGCACUCAACAAUGGUCUUUUUACCCUGGGAGCUCCACACAAAGAAGAAUCGCCCUGAAACCUGGCUAUGGAAAAUAUCUUAGUAUAAAUUCAGAUGAACUUGUUGUUGGCGUUCAGAUGCAAUUGGACCAAGAGAACAAUGGGAACCAGUCUUUCAAAAUGGUGCCUGUGCAGCAGUAUUCACUGUGAUAGGAAGUGAGAAGCAGUCUGAGUGUUCAUUGCUGAGGGAAUCAAGGGCAAAAUAUCAUGGAUGCACUCAUGGACAAAUAAGCAGCAGUUUGAAGCAACACCCUAGAUGGAUGUACAGCCAUCAAGAGGAUCUUAAAGUGUGGUCUUUAGUGGAAAAAAAGCAGAAGCAAUGUAUGGGAGACUGAGUAAUUACAUAUGAGCUCACAUCACUAUCUCUUCCACCACUGUCAUCCAUCAUGACUGAUCUGGGAGAUGAAACAGCACAGAUCUAAAGGACGUGGUAAGAAUCGAGAUCACCAGAGAUCAGUAGAUACUUGCAUACUUGGAGGAUUAACACUGUCUGGAUUCCAACGAUCAGCUGAGUAUGUUCAAGAUAAAGCUAUAGUACAUAUUUUAGAUUGGGAAUUGGCAACAAAUAGCUGUAGACUACCUUCUGAGGAAUAAGUGUUUUCACAUGUGUGGGUGUCAUUUCUAAUCCCAGCAUCACAGUCAGGUCCAGAUACCUGUUUCUGAUCUUUGGUCCUAUGCCUAAUCUCCUCCAAGAGUCCUUCCCUGGAUCUCCUAUCUAAGCAAGAUGCUCGAUGCCCACCAAUGAGUACUGCACCAAGUUCAUUUCCACUAGCCUGUGUUACAAUUUGUGUUUCUGUAUGUUUCCCUUACUUGUUAUUCUUUGUCUUCCCCAUUAGACUGAAAGCACCGCCACGGGGACCGUGUCUAGGACAUAGGAGGUCCUUAAUAAAUAUUUCUUGAGUGGAUAAAUGGUGAACCAUAGGGGUGGCAUAAGAGCAAAUAGAGGGUAGAUGAGCACUAAUCCAUUCACCACCCUGUUUAUGGGUGGUGGACCUUGGAUGGCCUUUUUCAUAGUCAAAACAUACUUUUUAGAUCUGCCUUCUUGGGAUGUAUUCAAGGAUGCUAGCCGUGUUUGAGACUGUAAAUAUGUCUAGUGAAUAGGGCUUCAGGCUGUGUGUGUUUGCCUUGUUUUGCACAGAAUUCGGCACAGCCCCAAGCACAGAUGGGUGCUUCAUAAAUAUUGUUGAAGGAUGAUGACACAAAGGAUUAUUUAAUACCUCUGACCUCAGGCCACAAACAUACUUUCAAUGUGUUUUACUUCUGAAAUCAUUUGAACCAGAAUGUUUCAGCAACACAGAUUCAUCUGCAACCACAAAUCAGACACAUUUAGAAUGACAAAGCCCCAAAAGAAUGCCAUUUUCAAGGCUGAAACUGUAUUAUUCUGGGCUAAAUGGAAUCCUUGUUUUAGUGACACUGUAAGAGUAGAAAUUAAAGACACUGAAAAUCUUCCCUUGGGGAACCACAAUUAUCUGUGAACAAUGAAAGUUUGUCUGAAUAAUUCAUCAGCCUCAAGGGUACAGGCCUCCCCUUAUUCUGGAAUCCCAGGAGUUUAGGCAAGUGUGUCAUUUAAUGGGUCUCAACUGUGUCCUCAGUUGUUAUUAUUCCAGGGCCUGGCAUUUAUGGGCACAUUCCUAUAAUUUUACUAAUUAAAAAAAAAUAAGCUAUAUGGGAAACCACUGUCAAGGUCAAAAUUUUGAAGCUGCAUUGAUUUUACCUAGGAAGAAAGAAGCUUAUAAAGUGUCCAUCAUGAGAAUCCACCUGGGACCUACACAACAGAUCAAAUACCCAGAACAAAUCACCACGUCAGAGCCCCACAGAAUUCUGAUUCCCAACCAACAAGCAUGAGUAAUCCUUUUAAAUGGUCACUUACAUAUCAGAACAGGUCCUUUGUGAAAUUUCUAAGCAAGGCCUCUGGUUUCUGACUGAAACAGAGAUUUAUUGAGAAGGAGGGGUAAAGUGAAAUCAAGAACUGCUGGGAAAUUUCCACAAGAAACAAGGACAAAUGGUUUUUGUUGUCAGAGUAAAACCAGCCUCCCCUAGCCAUGGUUUGGAAAGUUAUUUGCUAGCCCACAGGGGACAAUAUUCUCAACUGGUUUAUCAGGGACCCUUUUGAUCCAAUUAUAGUUAUUGGGCAGAUACAGUAGUACCCUAUUAUCAGAAGACCUAGUUUCAAAUCCUGAGUCAACUUCUAAUUCACUGUGUGACCUUGUACAAGUCACUUAAGCUCUCUGAUCAUUGGUUCAACAUCUUUAAUAUGAGGAGAGUAAUGCCUAUCUCAAUUACCUCAUAAAAUUAUUGCAAAGAUCAAGUGAGUUGAUAUGUUACAAAUUAUUUCUAAAUUAUAAGAUUCUGUAUAAGUGGAAGGGUUAAAUAUACUCCCAUAUUAUUAAAUACCCUACGUAUCACUCAGGAUUCUAUAUGACUCUGAGUUCUCAAUUUCUAGAAAUGGUCCCAUUUUUACUUUGUUCCCUACAAUUCUACGGAGUCUUUUUUUUUUUUAAAGGAAGGGUGUAGGCAAAGGUAAAUGGGAGAAAACAUGGAAUCACAUACCACUCUUUGGUGCUGCUAGGCAAGAAUUUUAAACUGAGUUUAGGUCACCAUCGUGGACUUAAGGUCCAUAUCACCUCAGGGAGACAAGUAGAGUGGGAGGCAUCCAAAAGGUAGGUGAUUCUUCUCCCCUCUAGUGAAGAAUACAAGGUCAAUUUACAAAAAAGCACCAGCAGCAAAUAAUUGGAAAAUUAAAUUCAUAAAACAUUUAUAAUAGCGUCAAAAAAAAGAAAAUACUCAGAAAUAAAUUUGACAAAAAUUGUAUAAGAUCUCUACAUUAAAAAUUAUGAAAUACAUGUAAGAGAAAUUAAAGAAAACCUAAAUAGAGAGAUAUACCACAUUCAUGGAUUGGAAGAUUCAAGAUUAUUAAAAUACUAUUCUCCCCAAAUGGCUCUAUAGAUUCAACAUAAUCCCAAUCAAAAUCCCAGUAGGCUUUGGUAGAAAUUGAGAUGUUGGUUCUAAAAUGAAAUAAAAUGCAGAGGACCUAGAAUAUAUAAUUUCCCUUUAAUUUGACAAAGAAGAAAAACAUGUUGGGAAGCUCACCUAAUUUCAGUGUAAUAUUUACAUACGAAUCAACAAAUGGAUCAGUGGUAUAGAAUAGAGAAUCCUGAAAUAGAUCUACAUAUAUAUGGCCAACAGAUUUUUAAUAAUGGUGCCAAGGCUAUUCAGGGGAAAGAAAAUUCUUUUUUAAAAAUGGGAUUGGAAAAACUGGAUAAGGGAAAUAAGUGAACCUCGACCCCUACCUUAUACCGUGCUCAAAAAUUAAUUCAAAAUCAUUCUAGACAUAAAUGUAAAAGUUGAAACUGCAAUGACUCUAGAAGAAAAUAUAGAGAAAAUAUCUCUCUGACCUUGGAGGAAGCAAAAAUUUCUUGUAGUUGACAAAGACAUAUAUAAUAAUCAUAUAAUCCAUUAAUUAUAAGAAAAAUAAACUAGACUUCAUCAAAAUUUAAAACUUCUGCUCAUCAAAAGAUACUAAUAAGAUUAAAAGUAGCCAGGUUCAGUGGCUCAUGCCCAUAAUCCCAGCACUUUGGGAGGCUGAAGCAGGGGGAUCACUUGAGGCCAGGAGUUUGAGACCAGCCUAGGCAACAUAGCAAGAUCUCAUUUCUACAAAAAAUGUUUUUAAAAUUAACUGGGUAUGAUGGCGCAUGUGUAGUCCUAGCUACUCAGGAGGCUGAGUUGGGAGGAUUGCUUGAGCCCAGCAGUUGAAGGUUACAGUGAACUAUGAUCGUACCACUGCACUCCAGCCUGGGCAACAGAGUGAGACCCUUUCUCUAAAAUAAACAAAUAAAUAAUUUUUAUGUCAUCUGAAACUAAGAUCAUACUGAAAUUUUCCCUCAGUGUCUCCAGAAUGUCUUUUUUGAAUGGUUUGCCCAAUGUAGUAUCUCAUUUAGAACCACGUGUUAUGGCCCUUCAGUAUUUUUUUGUUGUUGUUGUUGUUGAGACAGAGUUUCACUCUUGUUCUCUUGUUGCCCAGGCUGGAGUGCAAUGGCAUGGUAUCGGCUCACUGCAACCUCUGUCUCCUGGGUUCAAGCGAUUUUCCUGCCUCAGCCUCCCAAGUAGCUGGGAUUACAGGCAUGCGUCAUCAUACCUAGCUAAUUUGUCCCAUAGAAUCUCAUCUUCUGGAUUUUGUGGCUAUUUUUUCAUGGUGUUGAUUCAUUCAUAAGGUAAAAUUUAUAUACAGUGAAAUGCAUUUUAUGGGUACAAUUCAAUGAGUUUUGAAAAGUGUGCACAUCCAUGUAACCACCACCCAGAUUAAGACACAGAACAUUCCCGUCACCUCAGAAUGUUUCCCGGUGCCUUCUUCCUACCCCUCAUACAGUAACAUUGUAAUAAUUUCUAUUGCCACAUAUAUGUUUACCUGUUCUGAAACUUCACAGAAAUGGAAUUAUAUAUUAUGUAUUUGUUUGUUACUGGCUUUUUAUCAUUUAAUUUUUUUUUAUUCAUCCACACCCACUGCAUGUGUCAGUAUUUCAUUCCUUCUUGUUAUUGUGUAGUAUACGAAUAUAUAAAUAUAUCACUAUUUUUGCAAUCUCCUGUUGAUGGACAUUUGUAUUGUUUCCAGUUAUUAGCUAUUAUGAAUCAUGCAACUAUGUAUAUUAUUAUACAGGUCUUUUGUGGACACAUCUCCAUUAUUUUUGGGUAAAUAUUUAGGAAUGGAAUGUUGGUCAGCUGUAGGCUCCAUUUUACAAGAAACUGCCAAACUGUCUUCCAUUCUACACUUUUGUUUGCAAUGUAUGAAAGUUCUGGUUGCUUCCUAUCCUAAUCAACAUUUGGUGUGGGACUACAGGAACAUGCCACUACACCUGAUUGAUUAAAGAAAAUUUUUUGUAGAGACAGGGUUUUGCUCUAUUGCCCAGGCUGGUCUUGAAUUCCUGGCCUCAAGUGAUCCUCCCACCUCAGCCACUCAAAGCUCUAGGAUUACAGGUGUGAGUCGCCACGACCGGCCAAAAUUUAUUAAUUGGUAGUUGGCAAUUGUUGAUGGAAAAGAAAAAGCAGGUUACAAGCAAUGUACUUUUUGAUGUCUUUGGUAUUAUCACAGGCAAAUAAAUUAUAUAUGUAUAUAUAUUAUGUAUAUUAUAUUAUGUAUUUUAAUUAUAUGUGUAUAACGUAUAUGUAUAGAAAGAGAUACAGUAAGGAAUAUAAGUUUUUCUAUUAACAUAGGUAACCCAAGGUAGGGGAUAAGAUGUUUACAUUCUCUUAUUUGUGUUUUCUAACUUUCCACCAGGCACAUACACUGUUUCUAUAAUAACACGUGCUGGUUGAAAAUGUCAGACUCUGAAAUUCAAUGUUUUAUAAUAUAGGGUGAUAGACAAGAGGGAUGGAUAGAGCAAGAAGAAUGAAACCUAAUAGGGUUAGUUAGAGCCCUACUGAGUGAAUCUCUUGUUGGGUAUUUUCCAUGCACUGUCUCGUUUCAUUCUUACAAUAAACCUAUGAAGUAUCAUUUUUCUAUUUGUACAGCGCUAAUAAGGCUAUAAGUUAGCAUUUGAACAUAAUAUAAUCUGACCUCAAAACCCAUGCUUUUUUUCCCUCACUUAUACAUACAUACUUUCAGGUUAAUAAGUUCUGUUGCUAAACAUUUAUGUAGUAUUUACUAUGUACCAGGCACCAUGUUAAAUGUUCUACAUGAAGCACCUCAUUUGUACUUCAUGACAAUCCAUAUAAAGAUACCACUAUUAUUAUCCACAUUUUACAGAUAAGAAAACUGAGGCACAGAGACUAAAUAAAUCUAAAUUCCCACAGCUAGUAAGUGGCAGAGCCAAGAAUUAAGCUCAGGCCACCUGAUUCUCCAGCUUCUACCCAAUACACUAUACCGUGUUCCCAUGUUUUCAACACAUUCCCAAAUGGAGCAGGGGAGAAUAAGCGCCAGCAACCAACAAAGGAGACAUCGACGCCAAAGGUCUACCAUAAAGUUUUUCACGGUGACAUCCUUGCUUACCUGUCCAGGGCCAUGCUGGUUGGCAUACUCCUCCCAAACCCGCGGACCCCCAUCUGAUGGAAAUAUGGAAUGCAAGAGAGGUUGGCAGCAAUGAUGGCCAGGGAGUCAGAAGGGCUCACAAAGAAGCCAUUUUGGCCUAGGAUCAUAUAACGGUCCUGUAGGAAGGAAUGCGUAAAAAUGAUCGGACAGAAGCAUCUGCUAGCAGCCCAUUCCCAUAAUCAUCACAAUCCACUUUACUGCCAUCUUAUAUUUAACAAUCUAACAACUUGAAUGAGGCCAAAGAGAACAUGGGAAACAUUCUUCAAAAUCUCUGAGUACCAAGGGCCCAGAUUCUUGACACACCAGGAAUAUGUUCCACCUGUUGAAAUGUGGCUCAAGCUUUAGAAGCCCCCAAAUACCUAAUUCUUUCUUUCUCCCAAACAUAAUGGAGAACACUGCUUCUUGCAGAAAUAGCUGAUUUCUUAACUUGGUGCUUUCAACAACACCAGCCAUAAAUAAAGAUUUAUUGAAUAAUAUAUAUUUUUAAAUAAACAACCUUUGUAUGCCAUAAUGUAAAUCUGGAACUAAGAAAAGUAAUCGCUAUUUAAUUGCAAUACUUAGUCAUUAAACAGAAGGGCAGAUGCAGAGCCAGUUAGGGCACACAUGCCCCAUACAUGUUAGCUCCAGAUGUGUUCAUUAAUUCUCUGCUUUCCAGUGCAUGGCUCAUUAUAUGAUCAAAGGGUCAGCAGACAGAGAGCUUUCCUACUUACCCCAUCAGCAUCAAAUGCAGCUCCAAAUCCAUAUUCUCCUCCUUUCAUUGCUUCCAGAAGAGUCAUUGCAUAUGUCAGGUUUGGGUCAGGGUGCUGCCCUCCAAAGUCUUCCAGGGGAACACAGUUUAUUGCAGAAUUGGCUGGGGCCCCCAGCUCAUCACACAGAACUUUUCUCACAUAAGGUUCCAUAACUAAAAAUAGAUACACAGCAAUAUUAAAUAUUUGCAGAACCUUCUCCCCAGAGUAUUUUGUUCUGAAUAGUACAGGAAACACCAUUUAAUAACCCAGAAGAAAAAUAUAAAUUUACAAUCGUUUUAAAGAUACAAUAUAGAACAAUAUUUGCUUGAACUACUAUUUAUUGAGCAUCUACUAUGUGCCAGUUACUGUGGUAGGAAUACAGAAGAUGUAUUCAAUCAUCUAGUUACAUACAUUUUUUCACCUGAAAUUUUUCUAAAAGUUUGCCAGAAAGAAAUCAGCUACAUAAUAAUGAUUCAUUGCCUGUUGCUUUUCAUGUAUUAAAAGCUUUAGCUGAAUAUAUGCAAAAGCAUUAAAGGGCUCUAGCAAUGUUCUUUGUUUCUGCAAUCAUUUGGACUUUGCCAAGUAUAUAAUUAAACACUAUAAACCACUGAAGCAUAUAAAAACAAGCACAUUUUACCAAAAUACAUGCCAAGGAAUAGUAUUUUCCAGUUCAAUGAACAUUAUGGAGUAUGCAAUAUGGAGCUGCUCUGCUAGGAAAUGAAGGGAUCAUAUUGAAGGGAUGCAAAGCACAUAGUUUCUACAUUCCUGGGCUUGUAAUCUAGUAGUGGGAUGAGUCAAAGCUGCAAAUGAAUGACUGCAGUGGUAAGACUAAACAAUGCACAUUGAUGAAAUAAUUAUAUCCAAUGGCUUCAGAGAAGCAAUAACCACACAUAAGGCUUCAAGGAAGAAGCAGCAUUUCUGGUGGAACUUGACAGAAUAAUAUAAAGUUGGCAAGUGUUUGGGUUUGGAGUGGGAAGCCCAUCUAAAUCGAAGGAACAUUAUGAGCAAGGGAACAGAGCCUGAGGUAGAACAUAAGGCACAUUUGUGGAACAGCAUGUAAUCCUCCUAGCUGAAAUAUCUGAAAGAUAUUGCUUUCCACUUAUUUUCCACCAAUACAACACACAAUCCUCCAAUAGUGAACAUCUCUUGAUUGUGCCUGCCCAGCACACAUUUCCUCUUCCUCUGGAUACAGCAUUUGGGAUUUCUAUUGGAGAAAAACUCCCUUCCCCAUCUCAGUUCAUGGGGUCUGGGUAUGGCUAAAUCCCACCUCCCCAAGGCUAAGGAGGUGACCUAGGUCUGCGCAAUCAGCGUCCUCCAUCUUCUAGCCAGAGCAAUUGAUUCAAAGAUGGACAUACAGUAUAAACCAGGCAAUGAGGCUGAAACCCAGAAUCAUUGCUCAUACUAUUUGGAAAAAAAGCAAAGCUGUCUUCCCUGUAGGCCAGAUAAUGCUAAGGCAAGAACCUGAAAGUUCUUUUCCUGAGGAAUAUGAUCAGCCCAACAAGAAAGAACAGAACAGCCUAGCCAGAAGCCCUUAGAGUAAGGCCCAUGGAGAAGACCCACAGCAGGCUCAGAGCUCCCAGCAGAUUUUUAGUGCCUCAUUCUUAAAUAUGCCAGAAAGCCAAGGAUCACCAAAAUUUUGAGGAAUGUAUUUGAGAUGAGGUGAAAAUAAACAAAAAGUAAAGAGAAACCUGGAGGAAACAAAAAUUAUACAGGGAGAAGAAAACUUUUUAAAAUAUAUCAGUAAUAUCCUAAUAGAGAUUAACAAGAUAGAGUAGAAUGGCUAAAAUGGAAAAGACUGACAGUACCAAGUAUUGGUGAAGAUACAGAUAAACUGGAGCCCUCAUGCAUUGCCAGUGGUGCAAAUGGAACAGGCAUUUUGGAAAAUGAUUUGGCCAUUUCUUAUAAAGGUAAACAUACACGUAUCAUAUGACUCAGCAAUCCCAUUCCUAGCUGUUUACCCAAGACAAAUGAAAACGUACAGACUUGUUCACGAAUGUUCACAGUAUCUUUCUUUACAAUAGCCAACAACUAGAAGAAAAAUCUAAUUUUCAUUAACCAGUGAAUAGAUAAACAAAUGGUGGUAUAUCGACAACACAAUAAAAUUGUACUCAGCAGUAAAAGGAACAACUACUGAACUACUGAUACAUGCAACACCAAGAAUGUAUAUCAAAAUUAUUAUGCUGAGUGAAAGAAGCUUGAAGCAAAAGGUGACAUAUUGUAUGCUUCCAUUUAUAUAACUUUCUGGAAAAUGCAAAACUAUGGGAGCAGAAAGCAGAUGAGUGGUUGCCAGGGGCUGGGGAUAAGGGGAGAGGUUUGACUACAAAGGGCUGCAAAAAACUCUUUGAGGUGAUGGAAAUAUUCAAUCUUGAUUGUGAUAGUGGUUACAUGGCUGUAUAUAUUCGUCAAAUCUUAUCAAACUGUAUAUCUACUAGGAGUGAGUUUUAUUGUGUAUAAAUUAUACCUCAGUAAACCUAAGUUUAAAAAGAUACGGUAUCCAUGAAACAUAACUAGGAUGUAUUUUUACAAGAGAGAAUCUUUGGAAAAUACAAACAAAAGUUUUGGGAAAUUAAAAAUAUAAUGGUAGAACUAAAGGACUGGAAGAUAAAGUCAAGGAAAUUUCCCAGAAAGUAGAACAAAAUAAAGAGAUGAAAAACUGGGGAGGAGAAGGGGAAAUAGAAUAAUUAAAGGAUCAAUUCAGUAGUAAAAAUAACCAGAAUGGUUACUAAAUAGUAAUUCAAAAACUUUUCCAGAAUUAAAGGACACAAGUGUUCAGACUGAAAGGGUCCAUCAGGUGUCCGAUAUAAUAAAGAUAGAGUCCCACACUAAGAUCCAUUAUUGUAAAACAGAGGAACACUGAAGAUAAGUCAAAGGUCCUAAAAGCUUCCAGAGAAGAAAAAGGAAAGACAAUGGAUUAAAAAUCAAAAUAGCACUGGAUUUCUCAAGUUUAAUAUAAUAGCUAAAACACAGUAGAGCAAUGCCCUCAAACUUCUGAAGAAAAAUAAUAUCCAACAUAGAUUUCCAUAUCAGUCAAAUAUUAAUCAAGGGCAAGUGUAGAAUAAAAGGCCUUUUCAGAUAUACAAUACACAAAAUAUUUACCUACCAUGAGCUUUCUCUCACUGAGUUCCUGGAGAAUGUGUUCCUCCAAAAUGUACCAGUAAAUCAAGGUGUCAGACAAAGAAACCAGGGGACAGGACAUUUAACAUAAGAGAUGUGUAAAAAGAAUUACUACCAUGGUGAUAAAGGGAGAUUUCAUGAUGACAGCAUGCUCAGAGAGCAACCAGGGCAGAGUGGGGCAGAUCAAAGUCUCCAGGAAAAUGAAGUGAAGGAAGAUUUAGACACUAGCGGAGAGCUUGAGGAUUAAGAGUGGUAAACAUACUUGAUUAAAAGCAAGCAAUGAGAAAACAAGAUAAUUGCUGUUUCCAAGGAAAUCAAAAAGUUGUACUGUAAAGGAAAUAUAAUUAUAGCAUAUUGCAUGGCUCAGCAGUGUUGUGGUAAUGUAAACACUAGAUAAUGAUCUUACCAAACUGGUGAUAUAAUUAGGGAAGCAUGCUAGGAUUCCCUAACUGGUGG
rnacentral:lncRNA from 1 species